AGCUAAUGUUCACAUCCUCGGACUUCUGGCAAGCAGGGACUGGAGGGGGCGCGGGUAACGAUCAAGGAAGGAAAAAAAAAGGGGGGGAUCAUUUCAGAACCACGGUCCCCCCUGCAAACAGCAACGUAAAGGGCAGCCUUGUGUCCUCGGACUAUGGGGACGCUGGUAGGGGGGGACAUCAAAAAGAUGUUCAGUGUGUGUGCACUUGAGAGUCUCCAGGCAAGUUGACGCCCCGGAGCAGAAAAAACUGUCUGGAAGCUGAAGGAGGUCCUACCCAAGGCCAUGCACACUCAGUCCGCAAGCCUGGUUCAUCACUACUUUACAUCAAGUAUGGACGCAUGAAAGGAGCGUUAUCUCUGUUGGCAGUCCUCAGGGCGAAUGCUGACUGCCGGCAUUCUCGCUUCCCUGCUGGCAGGUAGAACAACUCCCUCACCCCGCCCACCUCCCCAAAGACAGCAGCAGUGCUCGGGGCGGUGCCCUAGAGGAGCAGCAGCGAGCUGCGAAUAAGGUGGAGGAGAAGGAAACAUGGUUUCCCAGUCGACAUCCUUGUCUCAGAGCUUGACUGACAGACAAGGAUGACAAGGGGCCGACAGGACAUCUUUGGAGGUUUGGAGGUGGAGAUGAAGGUGGUUUGUGUCAUCUCCUCGUAUGUCCUGUGAAACACUUGAGAAGCAGACCUGGGGCAUGCCCAGAACCUCCUAGUUAGAAUUCUCAGGCUGUGGUCCAGCACGGAUGGCUCUGGGCUUGACCAAAUAUCAAGCCUACAGCGUGCAAGGCCCUUGGUUCCAUCCUCAGCACCAUGAGAGACAGAACGAGAGGGGCAGGGGAGAGAAUGGGAGCAUUUUGGCCACCAUUAGUGACCUCAGGGGAA